rnacentral:rRNA from 1 species
UUAUGGAUGGACCUGCGGCGCAUUAGCUAGUUGGUGAGGUAACGGCUCACCAAGGCGACGAUGCGUAGCCGACCUGAGAGGGUGAUCGGCCACACUGGGACUGAGACACGGCCCAGACUCCUACGGGAGGCAGCAGUAGGGAAUCUUCCGCAAUGGGCGAAAGCCUGACGGAGCAACGCCGCGUGAGUGAUGAAGGUUUUCGGAUCGUAAAGCUCUGUUGCCAAGGAAGAACGCUCAGGAGAGUAACUGCUCUUGAGGUGACGGUACUUGAGAAGAAAGCCCCGGCUAACUACGUGCCAGCAGCCGCGGUAAUACGUAGGGGGCAAGCGUUGUCCGGAAUUAUUGGGCGUAAAGCGCGCGCAGGCGGCGAUGUAAGUUGGGUGUUUAAACCUAGGGCUCAACCUUGGGUCGCAUCCAAAACUGCAUGGCUUGAGUGCAGCAGAGGAAAGUGGAAUUCCACGUGUAGCGGUGAAAUGCGUAGAGAUGUGGAGGAACACCAGUGGCGAAGGCGACUUUCUGGGCUGUAACUGACGCUGAGGCGCGAAAGCGUGGGGAGCA